rnacentral:rRNA from 1 species
CCGUAGCCCAAGAGAUCGGGAUAACACCUGGAAACAGAUGCUAAUACCGGAUAACAACAGAUGAUGCCUAUCAACUGUUUAAAAGAUGGUUCUGCUAUCACUCUUGGAUGGACCUGCGGUGCAUUAGCUAGUUGGUAGGGUAACGGCCUACCAAGGCGAUGAUGCAUAGCCGAGUUGAGAGACUGAUCGGCCACAUUUGGGACUGAGACACGGCCCAAACUCCUACGGGAGGCAGCAGCA